CAAAAACAUCGCCUCCUGCUCAUCUAUAGGAGGUCCAGCCUGCCCAGUGACAAAGUUUAACGGCCACGGUACCCUAACCGCGCAAAGGUAGCAUAAUCACUUGUUCUUUAAAUAAGGACCUGUAUCAACGGCAUCACGAGAGCUGAACUGUCUCCCCUCUCUAAUCAGUGAACCUGAUCUCUUCGUGAAAAAGCGAAGAUAAAAAUACAAGACGAGAAGACCCCAUGGAGCUUAAGACCACAUAACACACUUUUUAUUUUUACCCUAAAAAAUGGGGGACCUGUUAGCUAGUCUUCGGCUGGGGCAUCCAAGGAGUAAAAUUCAACCUCCCUAACAAAACAUCUUAGAGCUACAACUCCAAGGGGCAGCAAACUGAUGCAAAUGACCCGAUUAUCGAUCAAUGAACCAAGUUACCCUGGGGAUAACAGCGCAAUCCAUUUUGAAAGCCCCUAUCGACAAAUGGGUUUACGACCUCGAUGUUGGAUCAGGGUAUCCCAGUGGUGCAGCCGCUACUAAAGGUUCGUUUGUUC
rnacentral:rRNA from 1 species